rnacentral:rRNA from 1 species
AUUGAACGCUGGCGGCAGGCCUAACACAUGCAAGUCGAACGAGUGGCGGACGGGUGAGUAAUGUCUGGGAAACUGCCUGAUGGAGGGGGCUAACUACUGGAAACGGUAGCUAAUACCGCAUACCAUCAGAUGUGCCCAGAUGGGCUUCGCGUGUUGGUGGGGUAACGGCUCACCAAGGCGACGAUCCCUAGCUGGUUUGAGAGGAUGACCAGCCACAAGGUACAUGAGACACGGUCCAGACUCCGACGGGAGGCAGCAGUGGGGAAUAUUGCACAAUGGGCGUAAGCCUGAUGCAGCCAUGCCGCGUGUAUGAAGAAGGCCUUCGGGUUGUAAAGUACUUUCAGCGGGGAGGCGUUACCCGCAGAGGAAGCACCGGCUAACUCCGUGCCAGCAGCCGCGGUAAUUC